AAAGAAUGUUGCAGACCGUGUAGAGCUUUGUGCAAAAGAAAUCCCUUUAGCUUUCGGAGACAUUCUUCUUUGUCUUUCUUUGUGUUCUCAGAGUGGGUUUGAGAGACAUCUCUAUGGCGAUCGAAGAGUGAAUGGGUCUAUUGGGAUUUUGGGUUUGGUUUUGGGAAUUCUUGUUUGAAUCCACCAUUAAAGGUUCCGUGAUUAAGCUUGUAAACAUAAUAUUCAUAUAGUGCAGAAGCUUGACGCCUGAGCAACGAGAACGUAGGUCGAUUUUGACUGAACCUCGGUAAAUUUGUGUGUUUUACUGCUUUUAUUAUAGAAAUUAGUUCUAGGCUUCUACAACAGAUUUUUUAUAGAUGUCUCUUUUGAUUGCACCUAAAACCUCUUUGCAGCGAUGGCAAAAUUUUCAGGAAUAUCAUCAGUUUGCCUUUUCAUGAUGUUUAACCUCAAUGUAUCAGCUGUUUGCGGUGUUUGUGCCAAUUUCAUUGUUGAAUUAAAUUUCAGCCUCCUUUUCAAGCAGGAAAUGGAGCUAUCUUCGAUAGGAUUUUAGAAUACUAGAAAAACUUCGCUUGUAUGUAUUAAUAUUCUUUUCUUUUGUCUGAUUCCAAGGGCUGAUGAAAAUUGAUAUGAUCAUUAAGGUAGGAUUUAUUAUGAAAAAGGUAACAAAAGGGAAUGUUACAACAAAGUUGUUGGACCUUGGAGGUCAACCUAGCUACGUUCCGCAGCAUGUGGAAGCG